CCUACGGGCGGCAGCAGUGGGGAAUAUUGCACAAUGGGGGAAACCCUGAUGCAGCAACGCCGCGUGAGUGAAGAAGUAUUUCGGUAUGUAAAGCUCUAUCAGCAGGGAAGAAAAUGACAGUACCUGACCAAGAAGCCCCGGCUAACUACGUGCCAGCAGCCGCGGUAAUACGUAGGGGGCAAGCGUUAUCCGGAUUGACUGGGUGUAAAGGGAGCGUAGACGGCUGCGCAAGUCUGAAGUGAAAGCCCGGGGCUCAACCGCGGGACUGCUUUUGAAACUGUGUAGCUAGAGUGCAGGAGAGGUAAGUGGAAUUCCUAGUGUAGCGGUGAAAUGCGUAGAUAUUAGGAGGAACACCGGUGGCGAAGGCGGCUUACUGGACUGUAACUGACGUUGAGGCUCGAAAGCGUGGGGAGCAAACAGGAUUAGAUACCCUAGUAGUC
rnacentral:rRNA from 1 species